rnacentral:rRNA from 1 species
CAGUAGCCGCGGUAAUACGUAGGGCGCAAGCGUUAUCCGGAAUUAUUGGGCGUAAAGAGCUCGUAGGCGGUUUGUCGCGUCUGCCGUGAAAGUCCGGGGCUCAACCCCGGAUCUGCGGUGGGUACGGGCAGACUAGAGUGAUGUAGGGGAGACUGGAAUUCCUGGUGUAGCGGUGAAAUGCGCAGAUAUCAGGAGGAACACCGAUGGCGAAGGCAGGUCUCUGGGCAUUAACUGACGCUGAGGAGCGAAAGCAUGGGGAGCGAACAGGAUUAGAGACCCCAGUAGUCCCUGUCUCUUAUAC